CCUACGGGGGGCUGCAGUAGGGAAUAUUGCUCAAUGGGGGAAACCCUGAAGCAGCAACGCCGCGUGGAGGAUGAAGGUUUUCGGAUUGUAAACUCCUUUUGUUAGAGAAGAUAAUGACGGUAUCUAACGAAUAAGCACCGGCUAACUCCGUGCCAGCAGCCGCGGUAAUACGGAGGGUGCAAGCGUUACUCGGAAUCAUUGGGCGUAAAGAGCGCGUAGGCGGGAUAGCAAGUCAGAUGUGAAAUCCUAUGGCUUAACCAUAGAACUGCAUUUGAAACUGUUAUUCUAGAGUAUGGGAGAGGUAGGUGGAAUUCUUGGGGUAGGGGUAAAAUGCGUAGAGAUCAAGAGGAAUACUCAUUGCGAAGGCGACCUGCUAGAACAUAACUGACGCUGAUGCGCGAAAGCGUGGGGAGCAAACAGGAUUAGAUACCCCAGUAGUC
rnacentral:rRNA from 1 species